CUAUAAAUAUUGAUGGCGGUUUUACUCAGCAUGGGGGAUAUGCACGUGUGCAGAAGAACGGACUUAGCGAUUAUAUGUGUGCUGAUAAUUUAACUGCAGAGACCCAGGCUGUUAUGUGCAAAAUGCUGUUUAAUGUCACCAGGGUUUAUGAAGUGUGAAGGAACCGUACUUCAAGCCUGGAUUCGCCACCAAUAUAUUAGUAGAUAAUAUCCUAUGCAGCGGUACAGAGGAAGACUAUCAGAUGUGUCCAUCUUCGAAUUGGGAUUAUAAUACUAAAUGCAAGAAUCCAGCGCUAAUAAGAUGCAAUACACCAGUGCGUCUUACGGAUCAGAAGAACAUGUAUACAGGGACUGUUGAGGUCUACUUAAACAAAACUUGGUCAAAUAUAUGCUUUCAUCCAAUACGAAAGGAUGAACACGCGACAAUGUUCUGUAGAAUGUUGGGAUACAAUUACGGACUGGCAAACGCUCGCAACGUGACUGCAUACAUUAAAUCUAAUCUGAACCUGACUUGCAAUGCUAACACUGAAGACAUCGAUAAAUGUGUGAGCAUAAAGAAGAGCUUCUGUGACUCGAUUCUGGCUAUAACAUGUC